rnacentral:rRNA from 1 species
AUUAGAUACCCUGGUAGUCCCAGCCGUAAACGAUGGACGCUAGGUGUGGGGGGACGAUCCCCCCGUGCCGCAGCCAACGCAUUAAGCGUCCGCCUGGGGAGUACGGCCGCAAGGCUAAAACUCAAAGGAAUUGACGGGGGCCCGCACAAGCAGCGGAGCAUGUGGCUUAAUUCGAAGCAACGCGAAGAACCUUACCAGGGCUUGACAUAUGGGUGAAGCGGGGGAGACCCCGUGGCCGAGAGGAGCCCAUACAGGUGGUGCAUGGCU